UGAGGAAUAUUGGGCAAUGCCCGAAAGGGUGACCCAGCAACGCCGCGUGGAGGAUGAAGGUCGUAAGAUUGUAAACUCCUGUUAGAGGGGAAGAAUAACUAAGUUUGGAGCUUAGUAUGACUGUACCCUCAGAGAAAGCCCCGGCUAACUACGUGCCAGCAGCCGCGGAAAUACGUAGGGGGCAAGCGAUGUCCGGAUUUACUGGGUGAAAAGGGCCCGCAGGCGGAAUGGAAAGUCAGUGGUGAAAUCCUACAGCUUAACUGUAGAACUGCCUUUGAUACUUUCAUUCUUGAGUUCGGGAGAGAGAGACGGAAUUCCAGGUGUAGUGGUGAAAUACGUAGAUAUCUGGAAGAACACCAGUUGCGAAGGCGGUCUCUUGGUCCGACACUGACGCUGAGGCGCGAAAGCGUGGGGAGCAAACA
rnacentral:rRNA from 1 species